GCUGAAGUAACCCAUGCCAUACUCCCAGGAAAAGCUCGAACGACCUUCAACAAAUGGGUACCUGUACCCGAAACCGACACAGGUAGGUAGGUAGAGAAUACCUAGGGGCGCGAGACAACUCUCUCUAAGGAACUCGGCAAAAUAACUCCGUAACUUCGGGAGAAGGAGUACCUUAUUCUAUAAGGUUGCAAUAACAAGAUCCAAGCAACUGUUUAUCAAAAACACAGGUCUCCGCUAAGUCGUAAGACGAUGUAUGGGGGCUGACGCCUGCCCAGUGCCAGAAGGUUAAAGAAGUCGGUUAGCAUUAGCGAAGCUGGUAACUGAAGCCCUGGUGAACGGCGGCCGUAACUAUAACGGUCCUAAGGUAGCGAAAUUCCUUGUCGGGUAAGUUCCGACCCGCACGAAAGGCGUAA
rnacentral:rRNA from 1 species